GGACGGAUAGCUCAGUUGGUAGAGCAGUUGGCUUUUAACCAAUUGGUCCAGGGUUCGAGUCCCUGUCCGUCCAC
rnacentral:tRNA from 1 species